rnacentral:tRNA from 1 species
GGAGAGGUGCCGGAGUGGUCGAACGGGGCGGUCUCGAAAACCGUUGUACACGCAAGUGUACCGAGGGUUCGAAUCCCUCCCUCUCCGCCA